rnacentral:rRNA from 1 species
UACGUAGGGUGCAAGCGUUAAUCGGAAUUACUGGGCGUAAAGCGUGCGCAGGCGGUGAUGUAAGACAGUUGUGAAAUCCCCGGGCUCAACCUGGGAACUGCAUCUGUGACUGCAUUGCUGGAGUGCGGCAGAGGGGGAUGGAAUUCCGCGUGUAGCAGUGAAAUGCGUAGAUAUGCGGAGGAACACCGAUGGCGAAGGCAAUCCCCGUGGGCCUGCACUGACGCUCAUGCACGAAAGCGUGGGGAGCAACAGG